rnacentral:lncRNA from 1 species
GACGCGGUGCCAGGUGACCCAGGGGUGGCCCCGCUGUGUCCCUGUCCCCUCGUGUGACAAUGUCCGGUGUGGGGAGGGGACGCGGUGCCAGGUGACCCAGGGGUGGCCUCGCUGUGUCCCUGUCCCCUCGUGUCCCCUGGCCGGCUGUGCCCGCUGCAAGAUGGCCGACGGGUGGCCGGUGUGUGUCCGGCGGCGCCGCCGCGGCGUGGCGUGUCCCCGGUGUCCCCCAGGAACCUCGUGCCAGGUGACCGAUGGUCACCCGCGGUGUGUCCAUCACCCACCGUCCUGCGGUGACCUCCGGUGUCCCCAAGGAACCUCGUGUCACGUGACCGAUGGGUGGCCCAGGUGUGUCCAGACCAAGGUGGCACCACGGCCACCGUCCUGCAGUGACCUCCAGUGUCCCAAGGACACCUCGUGUCACGUGGUCAGUGGUCAUCCCAGGUGUGUCCAGACCAAGACGUCCACCAGGAGACCUUCCUGCAGUGACCUCCAGUGUCCUGGAUGACCAGCCCCGGUGUGUCCAUCACCCACCGUCCUGCCAGGAUGUCCAGUGUCCCAAGGACACCUCGUGUCACCUCAUUGACUCCUGGCCACGCUGUGUCCAGACCAAGGUGGCCCCACGGCCACUGUCCUGCAGUGACCUCCAGUGUCCCCAGGGCUCCUCGUGUCACGUGGUCAGUGGUCAUCCCAGGUGUGUCCAGAACAAGGUGACCAUCAGGAGACCUUCCUGCAGUGACCUCCAGUGUCCCCAGGACACCAAGUGUCAUGUGGUGGAUGACCAGCCCCGGUGUGUCCAUCACCCACCGUCCUGCCAGGAUGUCCAGUGUCCCAAGGACACCUCGUGUCACAUGGUCAGUGGGUGGCCACGGUGUGUCCAGACCAAGAUGUCCACCAGGAGACCUUCCUGUGCUGACCUCCACUGUCCCAAGGACACCUCGUGUCACAUGGUCAGUGGGUGGCCGCAGUGUGUCCAGACCAAGACGUCCCCAAGAAGACCUUCCUGUGCUGACCUCCAGUGUCCCCAGGGAAGCCAAUGCAAGAUGACCAAUGGGUGGCCGCAGUGUGUCCAUCACCCACCAUCCUGCCACGAUGUCCAGUGUCCUCAGGACACCUCGUGUCACAUGGUCAAUGGGUGGCCACGCUGUGUCCAGACCAAGGUGACCACCAGGAGACCUUCCUGUGCUGACCUCCACUGUCCCCAGGACACCAGGUGUCGCAUGGUCAGUGGGUGGCCCCAGUGUGUCCACAAGCGGCCAUCGUGUGAUAAUGUCCAGUGCCAGAAGGGGACAAUGUGUCAGAUGACCAGUGGGUGGCCCAGGUGUGUCCAGACCAAAGUGUCCACCAGGAGACCUUCCUGUGCUGACCUCCACUGUCCCCAAGGAAGCCAAUGCAAGAUGACCAAUGGGUGGCCACAGUGUGUCCAUCACCCACCGUCCUGCCGGGAUGUCCAGUGUCCUCAGGACACCUCGUGUCACAUGGUCAGUGGGUGGCCCAGGUGUGUCCAGACCAAGGUGACCACCACCAGGAGACCUUCCUGCAGUGACCUCCACUGUCCCCAGGACACCAGGUGCAAGAUGACCAAUGGGUCGCCACAGUGUGUCCAUCAGCGACCAUCAUGUCAGGAUGUCCAGUGUCCCAAGUGGCCACGCUGUGUCCCGACCAAGAUGUCCCUAAGAAGACCUUCCUGUGCUGACCUCCACUGUCCCCAGGACACCACCUGCAAGAUGACCAAUGGGUGGCCGCAGUGUGUCCAUCAGCGACCAUCAUGUCAGGAUGUCCAGUGUCCUCAGGACACCUCGUGUCACAUGGUCAGUGGGUGGCCGCAGUGUGUCCAGACCAAGACGUCCAUCAGGAGACCUUCCUGUGCUGACCUCCACUGUCCCCAGGACACCAGGUGUCGCAUGGUCAGUGGGUGGCCCCAGUGUGUCCACAAGCGGCCAUCGUGUGAUAAUGUCCAGUGCCAGAAGGGGACAAUGUGUCAGAUGACCAGUGGGUGGCCCAGGUGUGUCCAGACCAAAGUGUCCACCAGGAGACCUUCCUGUGCUGACCUCCACUGUCCCCAAGGAAGCCAAUGCAAGAUGACCAAUGGGUGGCCACAGUGUGUCCAUCACCCACCGUCCUGCCGGGAUGUCCAGUGUCCUCAGGACACCUCGUGUCACAUGGUCAGUGGGUGGCCACGGUGUGUCCAGACCAAGACGUCCACCAGGAGACCUUCCUGUGCUGACCUCCACUGUCCCCAGGACACCAGGUGCAGGAUGACCAAUGGGUGGCCGCAGUGUGUCCAUCAGCGACCGUCAUGUGACAACAUCCACUGUCCCAAGGACACCUCGUGUCACAUGGUCAGUGGGUGGCCACGCUGUGUCCAGACCAAGGUGGCCCCAAGAAGACCUUCCUGUGCUGACCUCCACUGUCCCCAGGACACCAGGUGUCGCAUGGUCAGUGGGUGGCCGCAGUGUGUCCACAAGCGGCCAUCGUGUGACAAUGUCCACUGCCUCAAGGGGACAAUGUGUCACAUGGUCAGUGGGUGGCCGCAGUGUGUCCAGACCAAGACGUCCAUCAGGAGACCUUCCUGUGCUGACCUCCACUGUCCCCAGGACACCAGGUGUCGCAUGGUCAGUGGGUGGCCCCAGUGUGUCCACAAGCGGUCAUCGUGUGACAACAUCCACUGUCCCAAGGACACCUCGUGUCACAUGGUCAGUGGGUGGCCACGCUGUGUCCAGACCAAGACGUCCAUCAGGAGACCUUCCUGUGCUGACCUCCACUGUCCCCAAGGAAGCCAAUGCAAGAUGACCAAUGGGUGGCCACAGUGUGUCCAUCAGCGACCGUCAUGUGACAAUGUCCAGUGCCAGAAGGGGACAAUGUGCCACAUGGUCAGUGGGUGGCCACGGUGUGUCCAGACCAAGGUGUCCAUCAGGAGACCUUCCUGCAGUGACCUCCACUGUCCCCAGGACACCAGGUGCAGGAUGACCAAUGGGUGGCCGCAGUGUGUCCAUCAGCGACCAUCGUGUGACAAUGUCCAGUGUCCCAAGGACACCUCGUGUCACAUGGUCAAUGGGUGGCCACGCUGUGUCCAGACCAAGGUGACCACCAGGAGACCUUCCUGUGCUGACCUCCACUGUCCCCAGGACACCAGGUGUCGCAUGGUCAGUGGGUGGCCCCAGUGUGUCCACAAGCGGUCAUCGUGUGACAACAUCCACUGUCCCAAGGACACCUCGUGUCACAUGGUCAGUGGGUGGCCACGCUGUGUCCAGACCAAGACGUCCAUCAGGAGACCUUCCUGUGCUGACCUCCACUGUCCCCAGGACACCAGGUGCAGGAUGACCAAUGGGUGGCCGCAGUGUGUCCAUCACCCACCAUCGUGUGACAAUGUCCAGUGCCAGAAGGGGACAAUGUGCCGGAUGGUCAGUGGGUGGCCACGCUGUGUCCAGACCAAGAUGGCCCCACAGCCACCGUCCUGCAGUGACCUCCAGUGUCCCAAGGACACCUCGUGUCACAUGGUCAGUGGGUGGCCACGCUGUGUCCAGACUAAGGUGUCCACCAGGAGACCUUCCUGUGCUGACCUCCACUGUCCCCAGGACACCAGGUGCAGGAUGACCAAUGGGUGGCCGCAGUGUGUCCAUCAGCGACCGUCCUGCCAGGAUGUCCAGUGCCAGAAGGGGACAAUGUGCCAGAUGACCAAUGGGUGGCCACGCUGUGUCCAGACCAAGGUGUCCACCAGGAGACCUNNNNNNNNNNNNNNNNNNNNCACCACCUGCAAGAUGACCAAUGGGUGGCCGCAGUGUGUCCAUCAGCGACCGUCAUGUGACAACAUCCACUGUCCCAAGGACACCUCGUGUCACAUGGUCAGUGGGUGGCCCAGGUGUGUCCAGACCAAGGUGACCACCACCAGGAGACCUUCCUGCAGUGACCUCCACUGUCCCCAGGACACCAGGUGCAGGAUGACCAAUGGGUGGCCGCAGUGUGUCCAUCACCCACCAUCGUGUGACAAUGUCCAGUGCCAGAAGGGGACAAUGUGCCGGAUGGUCAGUGGGUGGCCACGGUGUGUCCAGACCAAGAUGGCCCCACAGCCACGAUCCUGCAGUGACCUCCAGUGUCCCAAGGACACCUCGUGUCACAUGGUCAGUGGGUGGCCCAGGUGUGUCCAGACCAAGACGUCCAUCAGGAGACCUUCCUGUGCUGACCUCCACUGUCCCCAGGACACCAGGUGCAAGAUGACCAAUGGGUGGCCGCAGUGUGUCCAUCAGCGACCGUCAUGUGACAACAUCCACUGUCCCAAGGACACCUCGUGUCACAUGGUCAGUGGGUGGCCCAGGUGUGUCCAGACCAAGGUGACCACCAGGAGACCUUCCUGCAGUGACCUCCACUGUCCCCAGGACACCAGGUGCAAGAUGACCAAUGGGUGGCCGCAGUGUGUCCAUCAGCGACCGUCGUGUGACAACAUCCACUGUCCCAAGGACACCUCGUGUCACAUGGUCAGUGGGUGGCCACGCUGUGUCCAGACCAAGACGUCCAUCAGGAGACCUUCCUGUGCUGACCUCCACUGUCCCCAGGACAUCACCUGCAAGAUGACCAAUGGGUGGCCGCAGUGUGUCCAUCACCCACCAUCGUGUCAGGAUGUCCAGUGUCCCAAGGACACCUCGUGUCACAUGGUCAGUGGUCAUCCCAGGUGUGUCCAGACCAAGACGUCCACCAGGAGACCUUCCUGUGCUGACCUCCACUGUCCCCAGGACACCAGGUGCAGGAUGACCAAUGGGUGGCCGCAGUGUGUCCAUCAGCGACCCUCAUGUGACAAUGUCCAGUGCCAGAAGGGGACAAUGUGCCAGAUGACAAAUGGGUGGCCCAGGUGUGUCCAGACCAAAGUGUCCACCAGGAGACCUUCCUGUGCUGACCUCCACUGUCCCCAGGACACCAGGUGUCGCAUGGUCAGUGGGUGGCCCCAGUGUGUCCACAAGCGGCCAUCGUGUGAUAAUGUCCAGUGCCAGAAGGGGACAAUGUGUCACAUGGUCAGUGGGUGGCCCAGGUGUGUCCAGACCAAGGUGUCCACCAGGAGACCUUCCUGUGCUGACCUCCACUGUCCCCAAGGAAGCCAAUGCAAGAUGACCAAUGGGUGGCCACAGUGUGUCCAUCACCCACCCUCAUGUCAGGAUGUCCACUGUCCUCAGGACACCUCAUGUCACAUGGUCAGUGGGUGGCCACGCUGUGUCCAGACCAAGGUGACCACCACCAGGAGACCUUCCUGCAGUGACCUCCACUGUCCCCAGGACACCAGGUGCAAGAUGACCAAUGGGUCGCCACAGUGUGUCCAUCAGCGACCAUCAUGUCAGGAUGUCCAGUGUCCCAAGUGGCCACGCUGUGUCCCGACCAAGAUGUCCCUAAGAAGACCUUCCUGUGCUGACCUCCACUGUCCCCAGGACACCACCUGCAAGAUGACCAAUGGGUGGCCGCAGUGUGUCCAUCAGCGACCAUCAUGUCAGGAUGUCCAGUGUCCUCAGGACACCUCGUGUCACAUGGUCAGUGGGUGGCCGCAGUGUGUCCAGACCAAGACGUCCAUCAGGAGACCUUCCUGUGCUGACCUCCACUGUCCCCAGGACACCAGGUGCAAGAUGACCAAUGGGUGGCCGCAGUGUG